ACCAAGGCGACGACGGUAGCCGCCUGAGAGGUGACCGCCACCCUGGGACUGAGACCCGGCCCAGACUCCUACGGGAGGCAGCAGUGGGAAUAUUGCACAAUGGGCGAAAGCCUGAUGCAGCGACGCCGCGUGAGGGAUGACGGCCUUCGGGUUGUAAACCUCUUUCAGUAGGGAAGAAGCGAAAGUGACGGUACCUGCAGAAGAAGCACCGGCUAACUACGUGCCAGCAGCCGCGGUAAUACGUAGGGUGCGAGCGUUAUCCGGAAUUAUUGGGCGUAAAGAGCUCGUAGGCGGUUUGUCGCGUCUGUCGUGAAAGUCCGGGGCUUAACCCCGGAUCUGCGGUGGGUACGGGCAGACUAGAGUGCAGUAGGGGAGACUGGAAUUCCUGGUGUAGCGGUGGAAUGCGCAGAUAUCAGGAGGAACACCGAUGGCGAAGGCAGGUCUCUGGGCUGUAACUGACGCUGAGGAGCGAAAGCAUGGGGAGCGAACAGGAUUAGAUACCCUGGUAGUCCAUGCCGUAAACGUUGGGCACUAGGUGUGGGGACCAUUCCACGGUUUCCGCGCCGCAGCUAACGCAUUAAGUGCCCCGCCUGGGGAGUACGGCCGCAAGGCUAAAACUCAAAGGAAUUGACGGGGGCCCGCACAAGCGGCGGAGCAUGCGGAUUAAUUCGAUGCAACGCGAAGAACCUUACCAAGGCUUGACAUGUUCUCGAUCGCCGUAGAGAUACGGUUUCCCCUUUGGGGCGGGUUCACAGGUGGUGCAUGGUUGUCGUCAGCUCGUGUCGUGAGAUGUUGGGUUAAGUCCCGCAACGAGCGCAACCCUCGUUCCAUGUUGCCAGCACGUAAUGGUGGGGACUCAUGGGAGACUGCCGGGGUCAACUCGGAGGAAGGUGAGGACGACGUCAAAUCAUCAUGCCCCUUAUGUCUUGGGCUUCACGCAUGCUACAAUGGCCGGUACAAUGGGUUGCGAUACUGUGAGGUGGAGCUAAUCCCAAAAAGCCGGUCUCAGUUCGGAUUGGGGUCUGCAACUCGACCCCAUGAAGUCGGAGUCGCUAGUAAUCGCAGAUCAGCAACGCUGCGGUGAAUACGUUCCCGGGCCUUGUACACACCGCCCGUCAAGUCACGAAAGUUGGUAACACCCGAAGCCGGUGGCCUAACCCUUGUGGGGG
rnacentral:rRNA from 1 species